AUCUUUUUGUAGUUCUUAAGCAUGAUGAUUGGGUUUUCAUACUGAUAUGUGAGAUGUGCCUCCCUUAAACCUUGUUAGGAAGUUGGCACGUUACCCAUCUGAUG
ensembl:snoRNA